rnacentral:rRNA from 1 species
AUUGAACGCUGGCGGCAGGCUUAACACAUGCAAGUCGAGCGGGGGAAGGUAGCUUGCUACCGGACCUAGCGGCGGACGGGUGAGUAAUGCUUAGGAAUCUGCCUAUUAGUGGGGGACGACAUCUCGAAAGGGAUGCUAAUACCGCAUACGUCCUACGGGAGAAAGCAGGGGAUCUUCGGACCUUGCGCUAAUAGAUGAGCCUAAGUCGGAUUAGCUAGUUGGUGGGGUAAAGGCCUACCAAGGCGACGAUCUGUAGCGGGUCUGAGAGGAUGAUCCGCCACACUGGGACUGAGACACGGCCCAGACUCCUACGGGAGGCAGCAGUGGGGAAUAUUGGACAAUGGGGGGAACCCUGAUCCAGCCAUGCCGCGUGUGUGAAGAAGGCCUUAUGGUUGUAAAGCACUUUAAGCGAGGAGGAGGCUACUUUGGUUAAUACCUGGAGAUAGUGGACGUUACUCGCAGAAUAAGCACCGGCUAACUCUGUGCCAGCAGCCGCCGUAA